CCACUACUUCCCGUCUUCUCCACACCGUCCCUUCUUCCUCACUUCCUCACUCCCUCCCCUGCUUCUAAAAACCCUCUCCCCUCUCCCUCCUCUUCCUCGUCGCCGUCGGUCGCCGGCCGUCGGCCGGCAUAUCCCGCUGCCAUUCGCCGGAGGCCCUCGUCGUCCCGCAUCAUCGGCCGCCGACGAUUAGACAGUACCAAGCGUGUCAUGCCUAUCAUGAUGAUCAUCUCUGGUUGACAAGUUACUUUCCUUGGUCUACUGCUUGAUCUUUGUUCUUUGGAAGUACUAUAUCUCACUCCAUACUACCAUGAAUCUCCAUAAUAACUGUCAGCAACAGCUAUCGUGCUCAAAUUCUGCAAGGCCGCCAACAUUUUGGACCAUCUGUCCAACCUGUGUCACCAAAUAUCAGUACCACCAUGCAAUUUUGAAGAAAGCUGUCUGCUGCCAUAAUUGCUCGAAAGCCUUCAUAGCACAUGCUUUAACUGAGCAACAUGUUCCUUCUGGUCCAUAUCAACAGUUUGCUGAGCUGUGGAUAAGUGCAGGAGUAUUUUCAGAAAUUAGAUUGCUUCAGAAGUUCGAACCUGGGCAGAUAUGGGCUCUCUACAGUGACAUAGACAAGUUUCCGAAUUACUAUGUCUUCAUAGAGAAAGUUGAUCUCGAGAAUAAUGAAGUACAGGCAAGAUGGCUUGAAGCUUUUCCUGAUGAAGGGGUGGACCAAAGAUUGGUAGUAGAUCGAACUGCUGAGUGUGUUGCGUCCAAUGGCUGAACAAUUUUGUAAUUCUGAGAUGUGAUUUCUGGUGUGCUUCAUAGACGAAGUAUUUCACUGUAGGGGUUAUUGCAUUGAGUCGACAAUUCUGCGAUAUUUGUAGAUCAUGCAUUCCGCAUCACUGGAAAAUGCAGUGGUUUUGACAA